UACAGAGGUCCCAAGCGUUGUUCGGAUUCACUGGGCGUAAAGGGUGCGUAGGUGGCGGUGUAAGUCUGAUGUGAAAGCUUCGAGCUUAACUCGAAAAUGGCAUUGGAUACUAUACUGCUGGAGGUUUGGAGGGGGGACUGGAAUUCUCGGUGUAGCAGUGAAAUGCGUAGAUAUCGAGAGGAACACCGGUGGCGAAGGCGAGUCCCUGGACAACACCUGACACUGAGGCACGAAAGCUAGGGGAGCAAACAGG
rnacentral:rRNA from 1 species